rnacentral:rRNA from 1 species
UACGUAGGGGGCGAGCGUUGUCCGAAGUUACUGGGCGUAAAGAGCGCGUAGGCGGGUCUUUAAGUGAGGGGUGAAAGGUUCGGGCUCAACCCGGACACUGCCUUUCAUACUGGAGACCUUGAGUGCGGGAGGGGCGAGUGGAAUGGUCGGUGUAGCGGUGAAAUGCGUAGAUAUCGAUCGGAACACCCAUGGCGAAGGCAGCUCGCUGGCCUGCAACUGACGCUGAGGCGCGAAAGCAUGGGGAGCGAACAGG